GCUGGGCUUGUGGCAUGGGCCUGUAGUCCCUGUUACUACUCUGAAAACUGAGGCAGAAGGACCCCUUAAAGCCAAGGGUUCUGGGCUGUAUUGCGCUAUGCCGAUUGAGUGUCACACUAAAUCUGGCUUCAGUAUGGUGACCUCCUGGGAGCAGGGGGACAGCUAGAUUGCCUAAUGAGGGGAGAACCAGCCCGAGUUGGGUGCAGAGCAGGUCAAAACUCCCGUGCCGAUCAGUAGUGGGAUUGCAUCUGUGAACAGCCACUGCAUGCCUGCCUAGUUAACAUAAAAGAAAA
rnacentral:SRP_RNA from 1 species